AAGCUAGAUAUUUGCGUAAAUCAUAAUACCCCAUAUCCUCCCACCCCAACUCGGACUAUAUAUUAGCAUAACUCGCUCUCCUAAGUUCAAUCUAUACAAGCUCUCUUAGUAGUCUUCAACUACACAAACUAAACUCGUAUUAGUGAGGAAGAAGAAGAUGGGCGGUCAUCACCAUCAUGGUCACCCUCCUCCCCGUCAUGAUCAUCAUGAACAUCAUCAUGGUGGGCAUGGGAAUCCUCUUAUGACUCUCUUAUGCUGUCCCUGUAUGAUGUUCUCCUCUAUUUUGACGUGCCUGUGUUCACCCUUUCUGCGCUGCUUUGGGUGGGGUGAACACGGACAUCACCAUAGGCGGUACUGAAGGUUUUCACGAAAACAGACUCUCUUCCGCGUACCCGGGUCUGCUAUGGUCUGUUCAUCUCUUGAGAUGUCAUUCUUCUAAAUCUUUAUGAUUUGUAGUAGUUGUAUGAAUCUGAGUUCAGGAAUUCUGUUUUCGGGUUGUCUACUCUGAUGCUGUAGCUUGUAAUAAUUUUGAUCUUUUUUCA